CCGGGACACGGGCGUCCGGCCGGGGGCGUUGUGGGGCCCACCGCGCGGCUGUGGCCUGGACCACCCCGGUGUUGCGCUGGGGACGCGCCUGGGGGCGGACCAGGGGCUGGCCGGGGGCCCGGAGACGCCGGGAAGGGCCGAUCCCGAUCCCGGAGCCGCGCCGGAAUGUUGGAACUGGGAGGGGGCAGCGGAAGGAGGACGCUCCCGCGCGCCCUGGGCCACUGCAUUCCCGGAGUCCGCCUGGGACCCUCCCGACCCAACCCCCCUGCAGCCGGAACCCCUCCCUCACGCCCAGCUCGCGGCCGCCGGGGACGCCAGGGCUGCAGAGACGGAGACCCCUCCUCCCCGUCGCAGCCCGCUGCAGCCCGCGCUUUCCAGGGAUGAUUCACAGUUUGAGAUAGGGCUGCCUGCUAAGGCCCUUCUGAGCAUUAGGACAACUCUGGGGGAUGCGCAAAGGGGCUGUGGGGAAUCCCGGCCACGAGUGGCUGAUCGGGAAGCUCAUUCCUCGCUUCAGCGGAGGGUACGGCUAGAUGUGCAUACUGUGCCGGGGAGAGAGGGGAAGGGUAUUUGAAGUCAGGUAACAGUGAGGGGCGAGCAGGAAUCAGGGCCGCCGGACCCCCAGACAGGGCCACUUGCCACUACCCUAUGCUGAACAUAGUCUGGUGGCUCAAAGGGGUCUUCCUGCACCCAUCCCUAAUCUUCCAGGCUCUGGAGCCUGGGAGAAGGCAUGUCCAGGAUCCCUGAGCAGACCCGAUUCCCACCAGCCCUCUGCAUCAUCUGCUCCACACCGAAGUAGGACUUUCCCACAGAAGAGAAGGCAAAGAAAAGGUUCCAUCUACCAGAGCGGCGCCUGACGACACAACCCGUUUGCCUCAGAUCCUGUUUGAAGGCCAAGCAGAAAUGAAAUCAGUUCCCCUGAAGAAAGUGGCCUGGCAGAACAAAUGGGUAGAAAGUGGAUGGAUUGAGGAGAACCUGGAUCUCUUAGCUGUGUUGUUCGCACUUCAGGGCCUGGGCACCUCCUGUUUCCUAUAGACUGCAAAUCAUCACUCCUGACUAGUGCAGUUACUGGGAUCCUCCAUUUGUCAAAUACCUGGAUUCGACUUUAACAGGAGAUGCACCAAAGUGAAGCAGUGAAGUUCUUUGUGAACAGACUGUGUCGGGGACCACAGCGUGAAGCACCAUGGUAUGAACCCUGCACAUAGACUCUGCUCAAGGACCAUUGGCCAUCUUGCAUCAGUGUGUAUGUUUAUUCCAUUUAUGUUACUGUUGCUGAUUGAUUGAAAUACUUUCCAUCUGCCACUAGUUCUUCCAUCCUUGUGGUGGAUGGAAAAUCCUGGUUUCUGGAAACUUGAAGGGAAAUCAGAUAAUAAAUAAAUGCCUCUGUGAUAUAACACUA